GUGUGUUGGGCGUGAACCCUAGCCCCCCAAUCCAGAGCCGCCACACCUCCCCCCUCCUCCUUCCCUCGUCCGCCACCGCACUCCCUCCCUCCUCCCUCGUCGCCCCACCAUCCGCCGUAGCACCGCGCGCUCGUUCUGUCGUCUCAUAUACCAUCGCUGCCGGCCCCUGCCAUGGUGUCACGGCGCUCUUCCUGCGCCCUCGCGUCCGACCUCACCAGGUCCUCGAUCUCGGCCUCAUCGGCUUGCUGCGGCGGCCGCUCUCGACGCCGUCCUUGCGACACGACAACGGCAAACCCGAGCGCCGACAGCUAAUGUGGUGGUGCAGCGGACGGCAGCCUUAGCGGGCGAGCGACGGAGACUGCAACUGGUGCAUGAGCUCGCACCUCAAUGCGUCCGUGCUUGAAUAGCUCGCAUCUUCACGGCCACCAAGUGCACAGGCCAGUAGUUAAAUUUUCUGCGGAUGAGUCCUUGUCGGAUGGAUGGUGACUAACGAGAUGCACUUCUUUGCCACAAGUAAUUUUAAUAAAGGGAUUGUGUACAAGUGUUCAGAUCUUUUCUUGUGAGAAGGAUACACAAAAUCAAGUUUUUUGUCGGUAGGAGAUUUUUUCGCUGUCCAACUGUUCAGUUCCACUGGAACAAGGGGUCCACUGGACUUCUAUUGUUUCCGAACUUGAUGUGGAUAAAAUCAACCAGAGUAUUAUGGUGAAACCAAGUUUCACCACUUGACAACUUACAGGGCCUUUCAAGGAAUUGUUCCUGUCAAAAAUGAGGGGCCAAUGUAUGAUGUUCAGUGGUCUUCUUCAGGUUCUGAAUUUGUUGUGGUCUAUGGAUAUAUCCUUACAUCGUCCUUACAUGAACCAUAACAUUUCUGGUUUAAUGUCUUUGUUUUCUACAACUGUUCCUUGACUAAAUCUUGGUUAGGCCGGCCAGAGCACCAAUAUUCAGCCAAAAAUGCAAUCCUCUUCACGAGCUUGGUGAAGGCCAUUAUAAUACGAUAAGAUGGAAUCCUGAAGGGUGAUGUAAGUCAUGUAACCUUGCAAUAAUUUGAUCAGCCGGUCGUGCUAUGUUCUCUGGUCUGAGUGGGUAUAUAUGCACACCCUUCUGUUUAGUUUGGUUAUUAGCAUAGCAAUAUGCGUCUAACAAAUUGUUCAUGUUCUUAGCAAUAUAUAUAUAUAUGCACACCCUUCUAUUAUAGUUUGAUUAUUAGCAUAGCAAUAUGCGUCUAACAAAUUGUUCAUGUUCUGUUAUUGCUUGCUUUCAUGUAAGAAAAAAAUCAUGUUUAUCUUGGUGAUAUCCUUAACCCAAGUUUCUCCACUAAUUAUUGUUAUACUUGGACAUGGUAAUUUGCCUGGUGAUAUUGUCACUAAAAUUUGUAUUAGACAAUAGCCUUAACAGUUAGAAUGAGUAAACAUUCUGAUUGGGGAAGUCUUGUCUGGUUUAAGAGAGCCUAUGACAGACUACAAAAGCAAAAAAGGGCAUGCUUUGAUAUUUCUUUAUGUGGUUGCCACAUAGCUCACAGUUUUUUUGUCCAGCUUUCUGGGACUAUUCAGAAAGAAAUUAGUAGGGAAAACAAAGGCUAAAUGGCAUGUGCGAUGGUCGCCAUUUUCUGAUAGUCACUACAGCUCCAAAGCUUCAAAUAGAUAAUGAGUACAUUUCCUGCAACUUUAGCAUGAUAAUGGAAAUGGUGGAGGAUCCUUACAUGAUUAUCUUCAUAUUUCCUGGUGCAGUUUAAGAAGAUGUGUUGAAAAACUGUAUCAGGUAUGUCGACAGCAUAACAGGUUUCUCUAUAAUCUAUAUCCCUUGUUGGUACUAAAAAAUUAGCGACAUGUCGAAGAAAUAAAUAUGCAAGCCCUCACAUUGCCCUCAUGAUUGUUGCUUCUGAAUUGUACAUGUUGAAUAGAAGCCAGAAUAUCCUGAAAGACUUGGUGACAUUGCUGACCUCACAAUAUCUUUGUAUAGCAUAAAAAUGAAGAAACAAAGAAGUAAUGUUCCAGUAUAUUUGCAGAGGUGAAAUAUUAACGCCAGUUCGAGCGCACCGGCCUCGAUGGCAAUAGACCACUACCAUCAGUGUAGUGGUAUAGCAUACUGUGAGCAAUCAGGAACAAAAACAGGAGGUUUAAUUUUCACAAAUCGGUACUGCAUAUUUUUCAGAAGAUAUGCAUUGUGAUUGAACAUGAGAAAUCAUUUACCUCCCUGUACUUCAAGGUGUGUUCUGCUCUAAAAUGACAAGCACCCAACGAAGUGAGAGCGCAAACCACAUGUUGAAGAGUUAUAUGCCACCUGCUAGCCCGAUGCACAUUUUUGUGAGGCAGUAUAUGAGGCUCCAGUUUGACCGUGGGAGGGAGGAAAGUUACGAAAGGACUAUUUGUCAGAAAAACUGAUGUAUCUGUUUGUUAUUCACCGUUGCUGAUUAAUUUUCAAUUUUUCAUUCUCAGUAAAACUGAUGUGUGCUGAUGGUGGCAGGGAGGUGUCGUGAGGAGAGCAAAUCUGGCAAAUGGCAAUAGAGCAGCAUGCAAGCAAAGUGUACACUCGUGCUAUGUUUUGGAGCCCCGUCGAAAGGUUUGGAGGCCCAGGAAGGUAGUGUUGGGGCGUCCGUCGGCGUGAAUGCGCUUCAAUGACUAGCACCACCGGAGUAGCAAAGAGGUGUAGGGAGGCCGUCGAACAGCCGGGAGAAAGCACCACACGAGGGUCUGAGCAAGCAUACCAGGUUUUGCAGCAUCUGCCCCCGUGAAGGCCACAAGCUGACGACAUGCCCUGAUCGUGGAGAUGCACCUAAACAGCCCCGCAAACCCGGAAAGUGCAAGAACUGUUGAAUCGAAAGGCGCCGCAGGAACACGUGCACACGCCUACUGGGUGGUGCACAGAUGUAGUCUAGAAGAUUUAAAAUUUCGUGUGUAAUGUGUGAUUCAAGAAUUUUCUGGUGUGUGUUGUGAGCCAUGCUCCACGAUUGUUCCUCCAGUGCUUAAUCUUAGUGCUAUUGUAUUCCAUAGUGUUGUAUGGUAAGUCUGUAACUCAACAGAACUUCACAAUUAUGAUAGAAAAAAUGUUGGGCGUGA